rnacentral:tRNA from 1 species
GGGCCCGUGGCCUAGCCUGGAUAAGGCGCCAGCCUUCUAAGCUGGAUUUCAGGGGUUCGAAUCCCCUCGGGUCCG